rnacentral:rRNA from 1 species
UCAACCGUGAAACUGCCAUUGAUACUGCAGGUCUUGAAUAUAGUUGAGGUAGGCGGAAUACGAUAUGUAGCGGUGAAAUGCAUAGAUAUAUCGUAGAACACCGAUUGCGAAGGCAGCUUACUAAGCUAUUAUUGACGCUGAUGGACGAAAGCGUGGGGAGCGAACAGGAUUAGAUACCCUGGUAGUCCACGCCGUAAACGAUGAUUACUCGUUGUGCGCGAUACACAGUGCGCGACUGAGCGAAAGCAUUAAGUAAUCCACCUGGGGAGUACGUUCGCAAGAAUGAAACUCAAAGGAAUUGACGGGGGCCCGCACAAGCGGAGGAACAUGUGGUUUAAUUCGAUGAUACGCGAGGAACCUUACCUGGGCUUAAAUGCAGUUUGACCGACCUGGAAACGGGUCUUCUCUUCGGAGCAAAUUACAAGGUGCUGCAUGGUUGUCGUCAGCUCGUGCCGUGAGGUGUCGGGUUAAGUCCCAUAACGAGCGCAACCCCUAUCGUUAGUUGCUAGCAGGUAAUGCUGAGGACUCUAGCGAGACUGCCACCGUAAGGUGAGAGGAAGGUGGGGAUGACGUCAAAUCAGCACGGCCCUUACGUCCAGGGCUACACACGUGUUACAAUGGCCGAUACAAAGGGCAGCUACCUGGUGACAGGAUGCUAAUCUCAAAAGUCGGUCUCAGUUCGGAUCGGAGUCUGCAACUCGACUCCGUGAAGUUGGAUUCGCUAGUAAUCGUAUAUCAGCAAUGAUACGGUGAAUACGUUCCCGGGCCUUGUACACACCGCCCGUCAAGCCAUGGAAGCCGAGGGGACCUGAAGUUCGUAACCGCAAGGAGCGACCUAGGGUAAAAUUGGUAACUGGGGCUAAGUCGUAACAAGGUACCCG